ACCACGCUUUAUAACAGACAGACAGGCGCCGCGACGCGCAGAGGAUGGGAGAGGGGGCUGAAGAUGCCACUCUUCUUCUCAAAACGUAUGCUCAGCCGCACCAGCGGUCGUCCAGAUCCGAAGCCAGCGCCUUCUCCACAGCACCUCGCCCCCGACACAGCACAGAGAAGCGACAGUGGCAACACUACUGCGGCUCCACUCGUGUUCCCGCGCUACCUCGACGGCCGCGACAUCUGCGCGUGCGUCUUCUCUCUUCCUCCAGUUGACGGCCGCUGGGUGGAGGCAACGCUGCGACAGUUGCGCGCGCCGUGUCGCUCGGCGUCGGAGAGGAUACCCCAAAGCCAGCCCGCAGGCAUCGCACCGUGUGAUAGGCGAGCGAAGAAGCGCACCCGAGGCGGGGCCGACAGUGGCGGCGGCUUUGUUGCCGCGGGCGUGGCGACGCAGAGCCGUCGAUUGAACCGCUGUUCCUCCUCUGCGUACACGCAACGGGUGAUGGGCAACCCACCACUUUCUCCUAUCGAUGACGUCGAAAACGGCAGCGCCGCCGCGGCGAGUGCUUCGGCAUGCGGGUUGCGUCUCGUCUGGCGAGAGGCGUCGCUCGACAGGCCUCCAAGUGGGAGCGUGAGCGCGGCAACGGGGGGCAGAAUGGCCGAGAACUGCCAUGCCGCCAGCGUGGGCAGCAGGGCCGAGGACCAAGACGUCACGGCGUAUCCAACCCUCUUUAGAGCCUUUGUUAUGCUGGACGACGACUCAGGAAAGACGGAGGCCGUGACGGCCGACGUGUGCGGCACCGCUGCAGGCGCUCGCUCGUGUGCGAGUGCAGAGCCGCGCACCCCAGUGGCUCAGCGCCCGCGUCGCGCCCACGUCGGCGAUCGCGAUCUCAUUCCAGGACCGGACGCGGAUUGUGCGGAGCUGGUGCGGCGCUGGCGCCAGUCUGUGCAACAGCCCGAGGCGGAGGCCGAGGGUAGCGGGCAGCGAGGCGAUACUCUGUCGCCGCUGGUGUCACGGCCACGGUGGACGCACAAGAGGACGCGCGUCGUCCUCGCAGCUGAGCCGUUGGCUGACCUCACCGCACCUUCUUGUUGCACCACUACGGAAGUCGGUGAAACCACGCCGCCUCCCCAGGCGACGUCAGACCCGUGUCGACGUGCGGCACACUGGCCGCGUCUGUGCUCAUUGGCCAUACCGAAGGCAUCCUCAGGGGCUGUGGGGACCAUCUCAGUGUCCGGGUCGCUGCCGCAGCGGCGCUUCACCGAGAUGGAGAGUCUCUGGCACUUCUCCUUCACGGCACCGUCUGUCCCGCACGCGCUACGCAUGCGACCGGGUGCGCGAGCGAACGCCAGAUGGUCCGUGACGAUGCAGCCCACAAUGUGGCUGGAGCGCAAGGUGGAGGGCGACCGCGAUGCGGAGGCGAGUGCCCGUGGCGUGCGACCCGCGGCAGGUGCAGAGAUCGCUGCCAGUGAGGCCGCCAUCCGUGCGCAGCUCGGGGGCGCAGCGGUGACGGUGCCACAGUUAGCCGUCGUGCGCCAUGCCCGUCGUCGCUGCCUCAUACGGGACAACGACAGUGGUGGCGGCGGUGCAGAAAAGGAAGGGCACCGCACUGCCCCUGAGGUGCCACCAGCUGCGUCGAUGACAUCCACCGAGGACGUUCUCACCGCUGAGGCUCUGUCGGCACAGUGGGAUGUUUUUGUGGCCGACGUGCGCGAGUCACGCAUGACACAGGAGCGGCGGCGCGCCGCCUCCACGCAUGAACGGUAUCUGGCAGCGGCAGCCUCUCUCAUCAGUGUCGGCGAGAACAUAGCGGAAGCACUCGCGACGUUGCCGCAGCUGCACUUCUCGCACCUGUGCACCGCGGCAAGCGCGUCUCAUCGCGAGGGAGAGGAAGGAGCGCGCGAUGCUCUGGAUGUGGACCCCACGGACUCGAUGCGCGGACUCGGCCAGGCCUAUCCCUACCCGGUGCUGGAGUGGUGGCGGUGGACUUCGUGCGGCCGCUCACGGUCACCUCCGUCGCAGCAUGCACGGAAGCCGCCGCGUCGCCUGCCGGACACUUGUGUCGCUUUCCGAAGUGUACCAGACGACGUGGAGGCGACUCGAGCGCAACUCGUGUUGACGCUGCGGGACUGGGUGCGCGACAUGUCAGACGUGCGGUGGCGGUCCGCGUCGUGGUUGCCAUGGGAUGCGUGGAUCACCGCGGUCUGUGCCGUCGCUGCCGUGCCGCUGCUGCUGUUCCCUCUUUCGUCUCGCCGCGCACCGCUGCUGAUGCCGUCGAUCAGUCGUGUCCAGAGCCGCCUACGCACUGCUGCCGCUGAGGAGGUGAGCGCAGCAUCGACAGCGCACCUCACGGCGGACUCGCUCGUCCUCGGUGGCCGCCCUACCGGGUACUCGGCCAAGGACCGUUCACUUGAGCGACAACCAUGGGCGGCGCUCGAUGCGGCGCCGCAGCUGCUGCGCGAGGCAAUGAAAUCUGCAACAGCGAGACCAGGCGAGGGGCUGCUUGCCGCAGUCGCGCAGGAAGACGCAGAGGACGCAAAGCCGCUGCGUUGCACGAUGCACACUGCGGCGGUGGCGGAGUGCGAGGCGCUCGCACGCGCGUGUGAAAGGAGUGCACGAGCUCCUUCGCAAGAACGAGAGAGAGGUGCUGCCGCCGCGGCGACAGCGGCGAAGGAGUCCGCCGCGCACACGCUUCAUCGCCCUCUGCUGAGGCGCCGCAGGUGCGACAAGCUGGCGGCUGGGGGGACGAGCGAUGAUGAGCACGGCAGAUCAGAGGGGAGGGCGACGGCACGAGUGGGCGCAUCACCUCCAGACGCUGCUUCACCGAACUCGCAAGUCGCCGCCUUUCCAUCAUCUCCCGCUGUGGUGUAUGUGGCGCGAGGUCACACCGAUUCCGCGGCCGUCGACCUUCUUGGCAAACACACACGCUCGCCACCGGCUACGGUGCUGCUGCUGGCUCCAUCCGAGUCCUCGCCUGUCAGCGAGGCCUCAUCUGCCGAGGGCACAGGCACGGGUGAUCGUUCUGUCAGUGAGGCGGUCGACAGGAAGCGCGCACGGUCGGUAGCGACCUCGCCCUCGGCCGCGGUUUCGCCUUCCUCUCCAGCCAUCACCGCCUCAUCCCUCACGUGUGCGGCGCGUGCAUCGCCACCACUGGUGGAGCGAGAUGCGCCAGUGUGUCUCCCGCGCGCAGCUACUAGCGCGCAGCGCAGCAGCACACCGCAGCGCCUGCUUGCUGCCUUGCUCGAGCAGCGGUGCCGUGAGGUGAUUUCGGCCGCCAACGACUCGCCUUCUCUCACCGCUUCGGCUGCAACAACCGAGGCAGGCGCAGUGCCCUCCAGCAGUGGAAACUCCUUACUGGCAUCACGGCCGUCAUCACAGUCGUCAUCACCGCCGCCAUCCGACGCGCUAUCCGUUGCACAUUCCUGUUUGCACGGCGACCGAUUCCGGCGAAUGCGGCGGUGGCUCAUGGCGCCGCCGUCUCCAACCCGACUUCCACUCAUUCCAUCGCGGCGGCGGCGGCGAUGCACAGCUGUUAUUCACGAGUCGGCGAGCCCGACAGCGUCGACGGCGCGCGCGCCAGUGUUGCAGCCACCGACUCGCUGGUGGCCAUGUACUCGACAGGCGUUGUUGCAGGACGCUCAGUCAACGGAAUCCCGUCGUGCGCUGGUGCCACCUACUGUGUCCGUGGCACCGGUGCACGGGGAGCGCGCAGAGGCAGGAGCGAUAGACGAUCCUGCUGUGUGCGUCAACGCGGCUCUCUGGCCUCCUGCGGGUGAGUUCGCCACAGUGGCGGCAACAGGCUGCAGCAGUCGCACUACCUUGCGCGUGCAGCUUCCUUUGAAUCCCCGUCGCGGGCUCGGAGGGGCAACGAUGAGGCCGGUCACCGUGUGGAUGUGGGCACAGCUGACUCUGCACAACUACGCCGCCGAUGCGCUGGCUGGCGCUAUCCUGCCUGGGGCCCACGCCAUUGAGCGACAGCUGGGUGCGACGGAAGGGGCACGCAUACCGAUGGCCCCGACGACUCCACCAGUCGCUGCGCAGCAAGCGGCGCAUUUCUUCGCCUCCGGGUUGAAAAGCUCGGUUACAAGUUCACGGGUGCACGGCCGUCCUUUGCGUGCCCUACCCUCUCCCUCCACAGCUCACCAAGGGCAGACGCCCGCCAUCGAGACGGCAGGUGCGCGUCUCCUCGUGACUGCUGAGCACUGGAAACAGCGUCGUGCACGGCGUGCAGUGCAGCGUCUCGCUCUGUAUGGGCUGAUGCUCGCUGGCGAGGCGCCACCACCUCCAUCCACGCGGCCGCAAUCGCGAUCCACGCCCCAAAGUGUGGAAGGCGAGGAGACGGCCUUGCCGCGUGGUGCUGACCACACCGCUGCCGGUUCUUUCACAGUCGGUGCACAGCUGUACCGAGAUGAGCUCCAGCGUAACGACAGGGCGGAGCUGGCCCAGUGCGUGCGCGACGCUCUCGCUCGCGCGCAGUAUGACGCGUGUGUGCGCAUAUUUCAGCGACGAAGUGGACACGGUGAAGAGAGCGCUGGAAAACUGGCGGAGGCCCGGCGAUUGACUGACGCCUGCGGUUCCGCCGUCUCACGCACGUGCGCCUCCUGCAAGGCAGCACAUGACGGCAGCUGCACCCCCAUGCCUGCAUUGUUCCUGUGGCCACUCUCAUCAUGGGCGCUGCCGGCGCCAGCGGACGGUCGUUGCUGCGUUGCAUGUGAGCGGCGAUUGCAUCGCAUCAUCCGUGAUGGCAUGCGCAGGGACGGCUGGCUUGCCUUCCACACUUUAUGGUACGACGCCCUCUCCGAGCAAGUCUCUCCGUACUCGCCGAGCACGUGGCCCGACUGUCUCUUGAGCGCUACGCAGGGAAGCGCGACGACACAUGCGGCAUCGAGCGAGGAGGAUGGCACCGACGCGUCGGCGCACGACGCUCCUCUCCGAUCAGCGUGUGCGCCACAAACUCGCGUUGAGCAGCGUGACAUCGACUCUCUAGAUGUGGGGGUCGAUACCGAAUCGGGUGCCUCACCGCUAGAGGUGUCUGCGCACGAGAUGCGGUGGUAUGUCGACACGAGCGACGAGGAUGAUGAGUGGAGGGAGGCCGAGGAACAAGACGAUGGGGCGGUGGCGCUCCACAAUGAACACAGCAGCUCUCAGUGGUGCUGCUGCUGUCUGGCGUCACAUGAAAACCUCAUUCAUGCGAUCAUGGCGCAAGGAGAAGGACUCACAGCCACCACAGAGCACAGCGCGGCGCCGGCACCCACGCUGGAGCGUGGUGCAACUCGCCACGGGGGCGGCGCUCAGCCACCGCUGUGCCCCGCGUGGUGGAGAGCAGGUUCGACGACGGGUGCCACGACCAUCUCUGACGCAUCUUCGGCGUCACAACACAAUCCGACCAGCGCUGCCGCUCGCGCAACGGCACGCUCACAGGCGGUGCACCGCGCCUGCGGGGCACUCGUUUUUGGUCUUCUGGAUGCGGGCGGCGUAAGCGUUUCGCCUCCCUUGUCGUCAUGGUCGUUGCCCAGCUGCUUUAACACCCGCACACACGGUGCAGCGCAGGAGGGCACACUUGAUGACGGCAGGGCUGGCAGCGUGAGUGCGAACAGCGCCGUCGCGCGACUGCGACGAUAUGCGGCGCAACUUCUAUCCUGUGGUGCUCUCGCUACCCGCUCAGCAGCAGUGGUGACGGCGGUGGCAGCGACGACGGUGCUACACCGCCGCCGCCCCUCUUCUUGCCAUUCGUUUUCUUCUUCGGCCGGUUCCCCCGGCUGCUGCAGGGCCGAGCUGCUAUGCGCGUCGUCUCUGCGGCAGCUGUCGCCUCGCUCAGGGAUGGUGGCAGCAGCAACACCGGCUGCCCAGCAGCAGUUCGAAGACGAGGAGGACGUCGAGGAGCGGGUCGCACCGCUGCGCCGGUGCCGCCACACGCGUCAUGUCUGCUCAUUCGAGGAGGAGAUGCAGUCGCUGCAGACGUGGUUGCUGCCUUACUGGUGGGCCAGGCAGCAGCAACACUUCGCCGUCACCGUGAAGGCACGACAGCCGCCGCCGCGAUCUCGAGCGUGUCGGCGUCUGGAACACCCGCUCGACGGAUCACACGCAAUAGCGACGACGGCGACCCACGGCGGCGUUGAUGAGGACGAUGACAUUGGCGAAGAUGCUCAUCCGUCAUCGCUGCGCUGCUUUUUGGCGCCGCGUGAGGAGUCGGAGGCGUGGGUGCAGCUCCUGCACCAUGCCCACCUGCGACAGCUGCGUCGGCCCUACGGUCCUCUCUUCCACGGCAGAUGCCUAAUGCGGCGCGCGCCGUUCGAAGGCUGCAUAGCGGAUGCGGAGGUGCACCACACGUACCUUGCCGCUAUGCUGCGCCAGCGCACGGAGGAGGCCUGCGGAGCACUGAGCGCAUACGUGCUGCCUUACUGCGAGCCACGUGGAACAUGUACGUGAGCCUCUGCCCGUCCGCCCUCCGCCAUCACUUCUUUGAUUUUUUCGAUUCUCUGCUGCUGCUGCUGCUUUACUU
rnacentral:misc_RNA from 1 species